rnacentral:rRNA from 1 species
CCUACGGGUGGCUGCAGUAGGGAAUAUUGCUCAAUGGGGGAAACCCUGACGCAGCAACGCCGCGUGGAGGAUGAAGGUUUUCGGAUCGUAAACCUCUUUUGUUAGAGAAGAUAAUGACGGUAUCUAACGAAUAAGCACUGGCCAAUUCCGUGCCAGCAGCCGCGGUAUUACGGAGGGUGCAAGCGUUACUCGGAAUUACUGGGCGUAAAGAGCGCGUAGGCGGGAUAUCAAGUCAGAUGUGAAAUCCUAUGGCUUAACCAUAGAACUGCAUUUGAAACUGUUAUUCUGGAGUAUGGGAGAGGUAGGUGGAAUUCUUGGUGUAGGGGUAAAAUCCGUAGAGAUCAAGAGGAAUACUCAUGGCGAAGGCGACCUGCUAGAACAUAACUGACGCUGAUGCGCGAAAGCGUGGGGAGCAAACAGGAUUAGAUACCCCAGUAGUC